GUUUUAGGAGAGGAAGUCGCAAUUUUAAGCGCGCUGCGCUAAUUCUCUGCUGCUCCCCACCCCGUGCCUGAUGACCAAAACGGGAAACGUAAAACUGCCUUGCCGAGUGAUUUUAAAGGAAAAAUGGGAAGCGAGAAAGUGCGAAAGCGGCUUGAGGCGGCAGUGGGACGCUUCGGCUCUGGGUUAGCGGCUCACAGGAGACUGCGAAAGCAGACUAACACUCCUCUCCUUACUCUCACUCAGCACCAGUUGGCGCAGUGCUGAUGGUGGCUCCCUGCCUUGCAGUGAAUCUCCCAGUCCAGCUUUGUCACCUGUGCUUUCUGGCGGGGGUUGGGGGGGGGGGGGCAGGUCACUUCCUGUCUUAGCAUUUCCUGUUUCUGUUAUAUCUGGACAAUUCCAGCACAUUCUGUGUUACAGUAUCAUCCAUCUGGUAAAACACCUUUAAUAAUAUAUUGGUAGUUAUGGCAAAUGGUUAAUAAUACUCCCUGCUAAACUGUGAGACAUCCAAAUGGCUUAAGUGUUGUUUCAUGAUAUCAGCGUCUAUGAUGAGUUUAUAUUAUAACCUUUCUUAAAUGAAAAAGUGAGUGAAAGUACGAGGGAGGAGGUGAGUGGUUAAGUUCUCUCUUUCUCCUUGGAAGUGUUGUUACGGAUAUACUUUGCUCAGCAGAUUUCCCCCGAGCCCCUUCUUGACACCACACCCGUCCCGUCGUCUUCAGAUAAGCCUGAGAGCUACUGCCUAGUUUUGCCAGCCUCCCUCAGGCCCUCAGUGGGCCC